GCAUAAUCAUUUGCCUYUUAAUUAGAGGCUGGAAUGAAUGGAUAAACGAAAUUACAACUGUCUCCUCUCUGCAAAUAAAAAUUAAGCUUCAAGUUAAAACGCUUGGAUAAGAUAAAAGGACAAAAAGACCCUAUUGAGCUUUAUUUUACUUUACAAUUAACAUAAGCUAUAAACCCCAAUUGUAAAUAAAAUUUAGUUGGGGCGACGAAGGAAAAUAAUAAAUCUUCCUUAUAACAAAGAAAAUAAUUCAAAGACAUGAUCCAGAUUAACUGAUCAAAAGAAAAAGCUACCAUAGGGAUAACAGACUAAUCUUUUUUAAGAGACCAUAUUGACAAAAAGGA
rnacentral:rRNA from 1 species